rnacentral:rRNA from 1 species
GUAGGUGGCAAGCGUUGUCCGGAAUUAUUGGGCGUAAAGCGCGCGCAGGCGGUUCUUUAAGUCUGAUGUGAAAGCCCACGGCUCAACCGUGGAGGGUCAUUGGAAACUGGAGAACUUGAGUACAGAAGAGGAAAGCGGAAUUCCACGUGUAGCGGUGAAAUGCGUAGAGAUGUGGAGGAACACCAGUGGCGAAGGCGGCUUUCUGGUCUGUAACUGACGCUGAGGCGCGAAAGCGUGGGGAGCAAACAGGAUUAGAUACCCUGGUAGUCCACGCCGUGAACGAUGAGUGCUAAGUGUUAGGGGGUUUCCGCCCCUUAGUGCUGCAGCUAACGCAUUAAGCACUCCGCCUGGGAGUACGGCCGCAAGGCUG